rnacentral:rRNA from 1 species
AAUAGAUACCCCGGUAGUCCACGCAGUAAACGAUGCACACUAGGUGUGGGGGGUAUCGAGCCCCUCCGUGCCGUAGUCAACACAGUAAGUGUGCCACCUGGGGAGUACGGCCGCAAGGUUAAAACUCAAAGGAAUUGACGGGGGCCCGCGACAAGCAGCGGAGCGUGUGGUUUAAUUCGAUGCAACGCGAAGAACCUUACCUAGACUUGACAUGACCCUGAAAGGCCUGGAAACAGGUCCCCCUUCGGGCAGGGCCACAGAUGUUGCAUGGCUGUCGUCAGCUCGUGUCGUGAGAUGUUGGGUUAAGUCCCGCAACGAGCGCAACCCUUCGUGUGAUGUUGCACAUCAUCGCAGACUGCCGGUACAAGCCGGAGGAAGGUGGGGAUGACGUCAAGUCCGCAUGGCUCUUACGUCUAGGGCUACACACACGCUACAAUGGUCGGGACAGAGCGCCGCCACGGGGCGACCCCGGAGCGAAUCGGCAAAACCCCGGNUCUCAAGUUCGGAUCGCAGGCUGCAACCCGCCUGCGUG